rnacentral:rRNA from 1 species
GAUGAACGCUGGCGGCGUGCCUAAUACAUGCAAGUCGAGCGAACGGACGAGAAGCUUGCUUCUCUGAUGUUAGCGGCGGACGGGUGAGUAACCCGUGGAUAACCUACCUAUAAGACUGGGAUACCUUCGGGAAACCGUAGCUAAUACCGGAUAAUAUUUUGAACCGCAUGGUUCAAAAGUGAAAGACGGUCUUGCUGUCACUUAUAGAUGGAUCCGCGCUGCAUUAGCUAGUUGGUAAGGUAACGGCUUACCAAGGCAACGAUGCAUAGCCGACCUGAGAGGGUGAUCGGCCACACUGGAACUGAGACACGGUCCAGACUCCUACGGGAGGCAGCAGUAGGGAAUCUUCCGCAAUGGGCGAAAGCCUGACGGAGCAACGCCGCGUGAGUGAUGAAGGUCUUCGGAUCGUAAAACUCUGUUAUUAGGGAAGAACAUAUGUGUAAGUAACUGUGCACAUCUUGACGGUACCUAAUCAGAAAGCCACGGCUAACUACGUG